rnacentral:rRNA from 1 species
UGGGGAAUCUUGCACAAUGGAGGAAACUCUGAUGCAGCGACGCCGCGUGAGCGAAGAAGCCUUUCGGGGUGUAAAGCUCUUACGCCAGGGACGAUAAUGACGGUACCUGGAGAAGCAGCUGCGGCUAACUACGUGCCAGCAGCCGCGGUAAUACGUAGGCAGCAAGCGUUGUUCGGAAUUACUGGGCGUAAAGGGUGCGUAGGCGGCGCUCUAAGUUUGGUGUGAAAUCUCCCGGCUUAACUGGGAGGGUGCACUGAAAACUGGGGCGCUCGAGUAUGGGAGAGGAAAGUGGAAUUCCUGGUGUAGCGUUGAAAUGCGUAGAGAUCAGGAGGAACACCUGCGGUGCAGACGGCUUUCUGGACCAUCACUGACGCUGAGGCACGAAAGCGUGGGUAGCAAACA